GGAUGUAAGGGCGAUCUGGCUAUAACAUCUGUCACCCAAUUGAUCGUCAUAGUUGAUUUGGCUGAUCCAGCUGUCUAGGCGGGUGUCCCGUUCCUCCCUUCCUCUUUUUGUGUGUCCCUCCGGAAGAGAACGAAUGUUUUACUGUUGGAAUAAUUGUUUUAUCAUUUUAUUGUUGUAUGCUUCGGGCUUGGUCCCCAUGUAAGCCGCUCCGAGUCCCCGCUGGGGAGAUGGGGCGGGGUAUAAAAUAAAGUUAUUAUUAUUAUUAUUAUUAUUAUUAUUAUUAUUAUUAUUAUUAUUAUUAGUAUCCCAGGUAUAGAAGGAGUGCACCAAGGUCUCUCCGGUCUUUGAUCCCGAGUAUAUGAUAGUUGCGCUCCCUGCUAAAACCUCCAAACAAGCUCAAACAAUGUUGUGUGAAUUUUUCACAAGAUAAGUCCCGAAUUGCAAAUAGGUUUCAGAAUCCAUGCUGCUUU
rnacentral:snRNA from 1 species